rnacentral:miRNA from 1 species
UGUCUGUACCACAUGGCACGGU